GUGAGUCAUCGAGUCUUUGAACGCACAUUGCACCCUUCUGGUUUUUUCCGAAGGGUAUGCCUGUUUGAGUGUCAUGAAUCUAUCAACGUAGUCAAGCUUUGUCUUGCGCUAUGAUUGUAUAAAUGAAAGGUUGCUGGAAUUUGGUCAGCUCCUUUUAAAAUUGAUUAGCGAGAAUGCUUUCAGCUCUGGUUUGAUAAGUUUUUUCUAUGCCUUUGCUGAUGCUAUCAUCCUUCGCUUCUAAUCGUCCGUUUGGACUGUCUUUUUGGAGACAUGUCUUGAUUUUGACCUCAAAUCAGGUAGGACUACCCGCUGAACUUAAGCAUAUCAAUAAGGCGAGG
rnacentral:rRNA from 1 species